GACGUAGGGGCGAGCGUUGUCCGGAUUAUUGGGCGUAAAGCGCGCGUAGGCGGCCACCCACGUCGAAUCUGAAAGCUCGGAGCUCAACUCUGAGAGGUGGUUCGAUACGGGGUGGCUAGAGGUAGGUAGGGGAGAGUGGAAUUCCUGGUGUAGCGGUGAAAUGCGCAGAUAUCGGGAAGAACACCCAUGGCGAAGGCAGCUCUCUGGGACGGUACUGACGCUGAGACGCGAAAGCGU
rnacentral:rRNA from 1 species